rnacentral:rRNA from 1 species
UACGGAGGGGGCUAGCGUUGUUCGGAAUUACUGGGCGUAAAGCGCACGUAGGCGGCUUUGCAAGUUAGAGGUGAAAGCCCGGGGCUCAACUCCGGAACUGCCUUUAAGACUGCAUCGCUUGAAUCCGGGAGAGGUGAGUGGAAUUCCGAGUGUAGAGGUGAAAUUCGUAGAUAUUCGGAAGAACACCGGUGGCGAAGGCGGCCACCUGGACGGUAACUGACGCUGAGACGCGAAAGCGUGGGGAGCAAACAGG